rnacentral:rRNA from 1 species
CGGCAGGCCUAAUACAUGCAAGUCGGACGGGAUCCGGUGGUAGCUUGCUAUCAUUGGUGAGAGUGGCGCACGGGUGCGUAACGCGUGAGCAACCUACCUCUAUCAGGGGGAUAGCCUCUCGAAAGAGAGAUUAAGACCGCAUAAUAUAAUUUUCCGGCAUCGGGAGAUUAUUAAAUAUUUAUAGGAUAGAGAUGGGCUCGCGUGACAUUAGCUAGUUGGUAGGGUAACGGCCUACCAAGGCGACGAUGUCUAGGGGCUCUGAGAGGAGAAUCCCCCACACUGGUACUGAGACACGGACCAGACUCCUACGGGAGGCAGCAGUAAGGAAUAUUGGUCAAUGGGCGGAAGCCUGAACCAGCCAUGCCGCGUGCAGGAUGACUGCCCUAUGGGUUGUAAACUGCUUUUGUCCAGGAAUAAACCUCUUUACGUGUAGAGAGCUGAAUGUACUGGAAGAAUAAGGAUCGGCUAACUCCGUGCCAGCAGCCGAGGUAAUACGGAGGAUCCGAGCGUUAUCCGGAUUUAUUGGGUUUAAAGGGUGCGUAGGCGGCCUAUUAAGUCAGGGGUGAAAUACGGUGGCUCAACCAUCGCAGUGCCUUUGAUACUGAUGGGCUUGAAUCCAUUUGAAGUGGGCGGAAUAAGACAAGUAGCGGUGAAAUGCAUAGAUAUGUCUUAGAACUCCGAUUGCGAAGGCAGCUCACUAAGCUGGUAUUGACGCUGAUGCACGAAAGCGUGGGGAUCGAACAGGAUUAGAUACCCUGGUAGUCCACGCCCUAAACNNUGAUAACUCGAUGUUGGCGAUAGACAGCCAGCGUCUUAGCGAAAGCGUUAAGUUAUCCACCUGGGGAGUACGCCCGCAAGGGUGAAACUCAAAGGAAUUGACGGGGGCCCGCACAAGCGGAGGAGCAUGUGGUUUAAUUCGAUGAUACGCGAGGAACCUUACCCGGGCUUGAAAGUUAGUGAAGAGACCAGAGACGGUCUCGUCCUUCGGGACACGAAACUAGGUGCUGCAUGGCUGUCGUCAGCUCGUGCCG